GAAAGUCACAGUCUGCGAUAUGAAACUAUCACACAGCCCUCAUCUCUAGCACCACUCCUGAGAAAGAUUCAACCCUGUUUCGAGAACUUUCUUACCUCUGGUAAGUGUAGUUUUCUUUGGCUUUAGAGUGGAACUGAUAUAGAGUUAUAGAUAGUUAUAGAGAAAAGGAUAUGGGUCAGGGGGGAAAAAUCUGGCCUCCAAGUUAAGAGAUUUAUCAGGAGAGAAACUUUCAUUCCUGACCUUAACUCUACAGCCUCAUCAUUGGAACUAUUGAGCAGAGAUGCCUCUUCCCAUCCUCCUGGCUACCAGAUGUUAUUGUUCUGGGGUCAUGAAUCAUGGCCUUUUUGAUGAACUGAAUUGCUAUUCACAAAAUUCCUUUUUUCUCAUGAGAAUUCUUAGCAUCUUGCUAAACUCAUAUGUGUGGCCAUUUAAUUCUAUUUUCAAUUAUGAAAAGCUGUGAACAAGAGAAGUUUCCUGGUUUGAUGAUAGGUUCUUUUUAGUUCCCUUAUCUCUGAAUUUGGGAAUAUACAAACCUGGCCUGACUUUUCUCUCAGCUUUUCUUUGGAAUCUUCAGCAAAAGAUGUGGAGAUAAAGUGUUGUGAGGUAUAUAAAAAUUACUAUGUGGGAAAAUUUGCACAGUUGGAUAAUGACAGGCCAAAUUUACUAAAGGCCCAUGGUUCACAUUUUAUGAAGACUAGGGUUUUGCCUUAUAUCUCAUUUAAAUAUGUUGACCUCUCAGUGACCUAUAUAAUAUUGGGGCUGGCAUCUCCAACACCCUUUGUUUCAGGGUAGCUAUCCAUCUGUAUCCUGGUAAAGGAGGAGGCAUGGAAAUAUCAUUCACACUGGGUUUUUCCCACAACCCACUUUAUCCCACAACCCAUUUUAUCCCACAACCCACUUUAUCUGUGGGUAGAAGAGGCAAUGUAGGGAUUUAGGGCAGAGCCCCAUCAAGAUAAAAGUGUACUGUAGAAGUAGUUUAGUAAGAUAAUAAGCAUUUAAAACAAUGCCCAAGGAAAUAUUUGUGACUUCGUAUAUCACAAAGGUCCUUAAUUGGAGGUUUUAUACAAUUCAUGAGUAAUUAGAGGUUGGAAGCUUGCAAAUGCCCAAGCUUCUGAUUCAGCAGAUAUUCAGCUUGAGCAGUAAGAGCCAGGGAUCUGCAGGUCCUAAAUCAUGACCAUUGGUUUAAAAAAAAAAAAAAAAAGAGCUCAAAAGGCCAGGUUUGUUGGUUGACUUCUACAGAAAAUGUUAUCAUAGAUAGCAAGAUAAAGCUAUAGAAGGAGGGAUAGAAAAAGAGCCAACAAACACAGGCACUCAGACAGAUUUAGAGGCUAUUUAUAACCAGACUAAUAAUGUUCUCUUAACUCCUUCGAUCCUCUGAAAGUUAAGAUAUUUUCUAGGAUGAAGCACUAUAUAGUGAUGUGGAGAGACUUUUAGGUUCAAGUUCUGAGAUUCAGAUUCUAAUAGAAAGUUGGGUCUUGGCUCGUGUCUUAGUCUUGACCCAUGUCAUGACUCAAGCUUCAAUCUGAAUGGCAGCAAUGGAAAAGUCGCAAGCAUUACUUUCUAUGUGUAGACUCAUAGCUGCCUGAUUUCCACUUAGAGGUUAAGGAAAGUGACUAACCCAAAAGCCACAGCCCUAUGCUCAACCCAUACCCGGGCCCAGUGAGAAUGGCCAAAACACAGAUUUGGGCUGAGAAGAGAAUCUGUCAAAUAAGCUGAGGGAUGAGAAGAAUAUAUGUAUCUACUGUGCAAUAAAAGCGGGAAAUGAGAACAGGAAUGAAGUAACUCCAUGACCAUGAAAACAAAACAUUGAGUUAAUGAUAGCAAUACACAGAGAUCACUCGGUAGUCAAGAAAUCUCUUCACUUAUUCUAAACAAGUCUAAAUAAAGCUAUGUGUAAUUAUCCAGGGUGAGCUGUUUGCUUAUUCCUGAUACCUUUUAGUCUGCUGGGAUUUUUUUAAUGGCAUCUCUCACACACCAACAACACAGUAUGACUUGAUGCAAAUAUAUGACUUUAAUAUCUCCCAUGGUCAUUUAUAAACCUUCCAGAAAUCUCCCUCAUAUCUGAAUGUUCAAAGGGAAUGACAGGAAAAGAACUUAGAUGAUUUGCUUUUAAUAUUCAGCUAAAUUGUUUGUGGAAAAAUGGCAUUUAAAAAAAGGAAAGGCAAAGGAGUUACUGUUGAAGGCAAGCUUCAACACCACAGGGUAAACUGAGGAGGGCUGAGUGUAGAGUCAGUGACUGGGGGCUGGUGCUGAUAGCAACAGGUUUGAUAGCAACCAACAGGGGCUGCUGCUGAUGGCAGCCAGUAACUAG
rnacentral:lncRNA from 1 species